GCAUCUGUUCUCAGUGGUAGAGCAUUUGAACUGCAGAUCAAGAGGUCCUCAGUUCAAAUCUGAGUGCC
rnacentral:tRNA from 1 species